rnacentral:rRNA from 1 species
CCUACGGGAGGCAGCAGGGAGCCAGCAGCCGCGGUAAUAUCCUACGGGAGGCAGCAGUGGGGAAUAUUGGACAAUGGGCGAAAGCCUGAUCCGGCCAUGCCGCGUGAGUGAUGAAGGCCCUAGGGUUGUAAAGCUCUUUCACCGGUGAAGAUAAUGACGGUAACCGGAGAAGAAGCCCCGGCUAACUUCGUGCCAGCAGCCGCGGUAAU